rnacentral:lncRNA from 1 species
AUGGGUUUCUGUCUCCCAUGUCUCCCAUCUCCUAUGGUUCACAAUUCAACAUUGUCCAGAUGCGGUCUCACUGAAACUGAAGAAAACAGCUUGUGGAGUAAGAUGUUAUUCAAGAGAAGCCAAAAGGGCAGAAUCUGGCCCACCCUUAAUAAUUCAGGGCUAGAGUGUGCCACAAGGAUGCAGCUCAUAUGAAUUAGCAGCAUGUUGUACCAUCCCAGGAAAUGAAGUCCUCAUCAGUUUCAGUGAAGGAAUUUCCUCAUUGUCAACCCAUGGCAGUGUUUGAUUGUAGCAACAAUCCAGAAUGGACCUAGGAUAACACCGUGUCCCAGAAAGCUGGAUAUGUGACACAUCCACAACAUCCUUCUUGAGAUCUAUUCUCUGCCCUCAAAUCAACCUACUCAUACUGUUAAGAAUAGUCCAGUAAGGAACAGUGGAUGAAUGGGAAUGACUUAUAAAUCAGAGUCAUGUUUCCUUUUCUUUCACCUUUGUGUUAAUGGACAAAUAAAUUACUGCAGGUUCAAAAGGCUGUAAAUGUU